rnacentral:rRNA from 1 species
GACGAACGCUGGCUGCGUGCUUAACACAUGCAAGUCGAACGGUAAGGCCCUUCGGGGUACACGAGUGGCGAACGGGUGAGUAACACGUGGGUGAUCUGCCCUGCACCUCGGGAUAAGCCUGGGAAACUGGGUCUAAUACCGGAUAGGACCACUGCCUGCAUGGGUGGUGGUGGAAAGCUUUUGCGGUGUGGGAUGGGCCCGCGGCCUAUCAGCUUGUUGGUGGGGUGAUGGCCUACCAAGGCGACGACGGGUAGCCGGCCUGAGAGGGUGACCGGCCACCCUGGGAGUGAGUUACGGCCCAGACUCCUACGGGAGGCAGCAGUGGGGAAUAUUGCCCAAUGGGCGCAAGCCUGAUGCAGCGACGCCGCGUGAGGGAUGACGGCAUUCGGGUUGUAAACCUCUUUCAGCACCGACGAAGCGCAAGUGACGGUAGGUGCAGAAGAAGGACCGGCCAACUACGUGCCAGCCGCCGCGGUAA